rnacentral:rRNA from 1 species
UACGUAGGGUGCGAGCGUUAAUCGGAAUUACUGGGCGUAAAGCGUGCGCAGGCGGUUCGUUGUGUCGGUGGUGAAAGCCCCGGGCUCAACCUGGGAAUGGCCAUGGAAACUGGCGAACUGGAGUGUGGCAGAGGGGGGUGGAAUUCCGCGUGUAGCAGUGAAAUGCGUAGAGAUGCGGAGGAACACCGAUGGCGAAGGCAGCCCCCUGGGCUAGCACUGACGCUGAGUGAGCGAAAGCCAGGGGAGCAAACGGG